rnacentral:rRNA from 1 species
UUUGUAAAUGGCCGCAGUAUUCUGACUGUGCUAAGGUAGCAUAAUCAUUAGUCUUUUAAUUGGAGGCUGGUAUGAACGGUGAGACGAGAAAAAAGCUGUCUCUGGGAUAAAGGUCUUGAAUUUUAUUUUGAGUGAAAAAGCUUAAAUGAAUUUGGGGGACGAUCAGACCCUUUGGAGCUUUAUUUAUUUUUUUACUUACGAUAUUUUUAAAUAUAAAAGGCAGGAAGUAAAUUUUGUUGGGGCGACAGGGAGUUAAAAGUAUCACUCUUUUUUAUAAACAUUUGUUAGUGGAUAAUUGAUCCUUAGUGAAAGAUUAAAAGAUUAAGUUACCCUAGGGAUAACAGCGUAAUCUUUUUGGAGAGUUCAAAUCGAUAAAAAGGUUUGCGACCUCGCAUGUUGGUAUUAAGAAAUUAGCAGUGCAGAAUUAUACUGAAGAAUCAGUAAGACUUU